rnacentral:pre_miRNA from 2 species
CAGGGUGACCAGCUGGCCUAGUUUGCCUAAGACUGAGGAGUUUCCUGGGAUGCAGGAUUUCUGAUGAUAAAGCAAAUCUGGGCAAACCAGGAUGGCUGGUCACCCUGCUGGGCA